rnacentral:rRNA from 1 species
GACGAACCGUGCGACCGUUAUUCGGAAUCACUGGGCUUAAAGGGCGCGUAGGUGGUUGAUCAAGUCUGGGGUGAAAUCUUUCGGCUUAACCGGAAAAGUGCCUUGGAUACUGAUCAGCUGGAGGGAGGUAGGGGCAGUUGGAACUUCCAGUGGAGCGGUGAAAUGCGUUGAUAUUGGAAGGAACGCCGGUGGCGAAAGCGAACUGCUGGACCUCUUCUGACACUGAGGCGCGAAAGCUAGGGGAGCAAACGGG